rnacentral:rRNA from 1 species
AUUGAACGCUGGCGGCAUGCUUUACACAUGCAAGUCGAACGGCAGCGCGGGCUUCGGCCUGGCGGCGAGUGGCGAACGGGUGAGUAAUGCAUCGGAACGUGCCCAGUAAUUUGGUAGAGCCCGGCGAAAGCCGGAUUAAUACGGCAUACGACCUGAGGGUGAAAGCGGGGGACCGAAAGGCCUCGCGCUAUUGGAGCGUCCGAUGUCGGAUUAGCUAGUUGGUGGGGUAAAGGCUUACCAAGGCGACGAUCCGUAGCUGGUCUGAGAGGACGACCAGCCACACUGGGACUGAGACACGGCCCAGACUCCUACGGGAGGCAGCAGUGGGGAAUUUUGGACAAUGGGGGCAAUCCUGAUCCAGCCAUGCCGCGUGCGGGAAGAAGGCCUUCGGGUUGUAAACCGCUUUUGUUCGGGAAGAAAUCCUGUGGGCUAAUACCCCGGGGGGAUGACGGUACCGGAAGAAUAAGCACCGGCUAACUACGUG